GCAAUUCCGUGGUGCUUUCUUGGGGUCGUUUUGGUGCUCCAUAAUAUUUAUUUGAGAGACAAGAAGUUUAUUUCCUGCCCGCUGCUUUGGUUUUGGGUUGUUCUGGGUACCUCUGGGUGUGGUUGUAGCUUGAUUUAGUGGUCAAAGCGGUGCUUCCUUUCCAAUGAAUCAAUCUAAACUUCACCGCUGUGCAUCGGGCUUGGAACCAACAGGCGGAUUUGUCCCUCCUCUUUCACCUCUCCCAUCUUCUCCCUAACGACGCCUCCACCCUUGCGCCUACCGACGCCUCCACCGGCGUGAUAAGCCUCCUCUUCCUUCCAAGGUCGCUGGCGGCAAGGGUCUCAGCGUUUUUUCCUCUCGAGUAUGGCAUCGGAGGAGGACCUCAGCGAGUAUGGCAUCGGAGGAGGACCUCGGCGAGUAUGGCAUCCCCGAACUCGACGGCGCAGAUGCCAGUGCAGACUGGGAGAUUUGCCUCCACCGGCAUCUCCUCCACGGGCAACAAUAAGCCCGUCCUUCACUGCCAGGCGCCAGCACGUCCGCGUCGACGAUGACGCACCUAACAACACAAACGUCUAGGCGAGGCGGCGCCGUAUCUUUUGGCAAUGUGUGUCCUCUAUCUGUGCGAGUUUGUGAGUCUCUACUCAUGCUCUCUCUUUACAUAUUUCUCUCUUUUUCUCACACGGGAGCAGCUAUGAGGCGCAAGCGGCAUGGCCGCACAAGGAGCAGUGAGAAAUGAGAACGGUGGUGCCACAGAUCUCAACUGUUUGAUGGAAUGCCCCAUAGUGCUCGCGUCAUUGCACAGAUCUAUAUGAUGCUUGACCUGGAAGGACAGCAUUAAAACAGUGGUACACACUGACGAGAGCUCUCAAAAGUCUCUAUCUCAAAUAUUCUAUAUGAUUCAGUGUAGCUCCUCUAGGAUCAGGAUUUUGGUUUUAGUGACUAUCCUAAUGCAAACUGCAAUUUAUUCCGCAAACAAUUUGACUCUUAUCAGAUUGAAACACUUUUGGUUCAGAGGUCCUUACACAAUCACUCAUCCAUUAACAUCUAUAAUUUUGUUUGGAGUACAAGUACAAUUUAGUUUUCAUCGUUGAUCUGAAUCUCUCAAGCACUCCUUUUUAUUAUUUCUACUUAGUUAGGGUGACUUCACUGCUUCUAGGAAUAUACUGCUUGGCAAUUCAUGGGAUGUGGGUUAGCAUUGAUGUAGACAAUUUGCUAUUUUAGAUGAUAGUACCUGUGGUGUAUGAAAUCAGCAGGCUAGACAAGAUCAUGGAUUAUUCUAUUUUGUGAAUAAAAGGAAGAGCAUGUGCAAUGCAUAGUUAGACUGUCUUCCAAGAUAAGAGGUUGACAAGUAUGGGUAGUACACUGGUUGAUGGAAGUAUCUAAAGAUUCAGUCAUUCAAUCUUCUCUCCCCUGUAUGAGGAGGAAUUGUGCGUUCGGUCAGAGGAUAAAGACCAUGUUUUAAAGGAAUUAUGAAUCUCACUUCAGCACUUUGAAUUCCUAUGGCAUAUGAACAAUAAAAUAUAUUGUUCCAAUAGUCACCUUCCUGGCGAUUUAUUUUCCUGAAUUGCAAGGGACUCAUGUCGUAGUUAAGGACAAAUAACGGCGUGCAGGUUAAAUUGACAAUCCAAACCGCUUUAGUCGACGAUCUCUCGCAGAAAGGUUAUCAAUGGAAUAUCCCUUGUGCGCGUCACCCACGGAAGGGCCUACAUAUGGAAACACGGAAUAAUCUGUAUAGGUGUAUUUCAUCAAGGUUGACUGCGCAUUAUUGUGCUCAACAUACAUCAUCCUACCAGGUCAGAAUAAUGAGGGUCCCCCUAUUCCUCAAACUUCAAAGUAGGCUCAAGGUCCUUGAGACUUUAACAUUGCCACCAUCUAUGGAUCUCACGAGAUAGAGUGCACCAUCAUCAGCUUCUGUAGUUGAUGCGGUAAAAUUGUGGUCUUAGCAGAGCACCUGUGUUUUUGGGCUUCUGUAGUUGUACGGAUCAUCAGGAAGUGUUACCGUGUAAUCUAUUCACACCUGCUGCGAUUCAAUACGUGUCCUUUUUGUAUGGUGAAGGCCAUAUAACACAUCCCUUGACGAUCCACCAAGUGCAUCUAGCAGAGUUGUGUCCUCCUACACUUUCUCAGUUUGGUCUGCAAAUGUGUGCAAAAUUCCUCGGCAGAUACAUGCGAAGCUGCUUCCUCUGAGUUUCCGUGAUCCAUGAACAAUGUCGAUAUACGGCCGUGUAUUCCUUAGACAAUUAUAUAUCAGUGUAGCCAUGCCCAUUCGAAAUAACUAAGUAGUCUUUUCUGUCCCA